rnacentral:rRNA from 1 species
AAUGAACGCUGGCGGCGUGCCUAAUACAUGCAAGUCGAGCGAAAGGACGGUAAGCGCGUGUCUUUGAUGUUAGCGGGUGACGGGUGAGUAAGACAUGGAUAAGCUUCUUAUAAGACGUGGGGGACAUCGGAAGACCGGAUAUAAUAAUAGAUAAUAUUUUGUACGGGUGGGUUCAAAAGUGAUAGAGGGUUUUCGUGAUAGUUUUAGAUGAUGCCGGAUUGGCUAGUUGACUGGGUAAUGGCACACCAAGGCGACGAUCCUUAGCUGGUCUGAGAGGAUGAUCAGCCACACUGGAACUGAGACACGGUCCAGACUCCUACGGGAGGCAGCAGUGGGGAAUAUUGGACAAUGGGCGCAAGCCUGAUCCAGCCAUACCGCGUGAGUGAAGAAGGCCUUCGGGUUGUAAAGCCCUUUUGUUGGGAAAGAAAAGCAGCAGGUGAAUACCCCGCUGUUCUGACGGUACCCAAAGAAUAAGCACCGGCUAACUUCGUG